UAAGACCCCUGGUGGAUCACCAGGUCGAUAGGCCGGGCGUGUAAGGACCGCAAGGUCUUCAGCGACCGGUACUAAUCGGUCGAGGCCUUCUCCC
rnacentral:rRNA from 1 species